GACGAACGCUGGCGGCGUGCUUAACACAUGCAAGUCGAACGGAAAGGCCCUGCUUUUGUGGGGUGCUCGAGUGGCGAACGGGUGAGUAACACGUGAGUAACCUGCCCUUGACUUUGUGAUAACUUCAGGAAACUGGGGCUAAUACCGGAUAGGAGCUCCUGCUGCAUGGUGGGGUUUGGAAAGUUUCGGCGGUUGGGGAUGGACUCGCGGCUUAUCAGCUUGUUGGUUGGGUAGUUGCUUACCAAGGCUUUGACGGGUAGCCUGCCUGAGAGGGUGAACAGCCACAUUGGGACUGAGAUACGGCCCAGACUCCUACGGGAGGCAGCAGUGGGGAAUAUUGCACAAUGGGCGGAAGCCUGAUGCAGCAACGCCGCGUGCGGGAUGACGGCCUUCGGGUUGUAAACCGCUUUCGCCUGUGACGAAGCGUGAGUGACGGUAAUGGGUAAAGAAGCACCGGCUAACUACGUG
rnacentral:rRNA from 1 species